rnacentral:misc_RNA from 1 species
UACCAUACAAGAAAGAACGAUACUUUAGGCUGCAGCUGAUUGUUUGUGGCUGAGGUCCUCGAGAUUAAGUGCUUGAAGCAACUUUGGCCAGGAUUCGGGAAUCCCUCCAGGAAGAUCAAACUCUAAUAGCUUCCCGCGACUACGGUAGAAAUCCUCAACAGGUUGGCUCGUUUCUUUGUAUAUUCGGAGUCGUUCCUUCACAACUGCUUCAGUAUCAUCAGAUCGUGUGAUAAGUUUAGAUGCACAGUUGGGAGGAGGAAGAAG